CGAAAAACCGGCGGAAAAGAGCGCCGGCAAGAAAUUACGGCAACGCAACCGAACGGCCCAUCCCCGGGUUUCGUCGGCUCAUCGCGACCUCAAAGUUCUGAGGAAAAGUAAAAAGUUGCAAAGACAACUUAUGAUGUUGACCGAUUCUAGGCGACGGUUUAAUGAUCCGUCAAUGCUAUAGACCGGUGUUUCAAUUACUUACAGUUA
rnacentral:sRNA from 1 species